GUGAAAUUUCUCAAAAACAACAUCUCUUUGUCUCACUGCUGAAGAUUUACUUCACUACAAGUCUAUGGGGCCUGUCUUCUGCAGCAAUAUGGAGAUCGCAGCGAGAUCGAGAGUAAAGCGCAAAAAUGUGUCAUUCUCCAGGCUCGUUCUAAUGACCGCUGGGAGUCUCGAGACUUAGACCGCGACUGAUCAAAGACGUUUGACAAGUCUCUGCGACAUGUGAACAAAGGAACUAGUGCAUAGACGUACCUUUCCAUCAGUUAUGUACUUGCAGUUAAUUUUUAGAAACUUCUCAGUGAAGGCUUC